rnacentral:rRNA from 1 species
GACGAACGCUGGCGGCGUGCCUAAUACAUGCAAGUAGGACGCAGUUGCGAACGGGGGAGUAACACGUAGGUAACUACCUAUUAGAGGGGUGUAACUAGUGGAAACGAUAGCAAAUACCGCAUACUAGUGGAUGGCUCUGCGUGGUAUUAGUUAGUAGGUAGGGUAAAGGCCUACCUAGGCAACGAUACAUUGCCGACCUGGGAGGGUGAACGGCCAAACUGGGAAUGAGACACGGGCCAGACCCCUAAGGGAGGCAGCAGUAGGGAAUCUUCGGCAAUGGGGGGAACCCUGACCGAGCAACGGCGCGUGAGUGAAGAAGGUUUGCGGAUCGGAAAGCUCUGUUGUUAAGGAAGCGGUACUUAACCAGAAAGGGACGGCUAACUACGUGCCAGCCGCCGCGGUAAUAC